GCCUGGGGGCCGAUCCCCAGCUGGAGUCGGACUCCCGGCAUCUGCCCCCCCGGCGCGCCCCGCCCGCUGACCCGGCCGCUUGUCCGGUGCUGCCUCUGCCUUUGCAGCCUCCCCUCCUCGGCGGCCGGGCCGACGCGGAAAGGAAGAUGUCCUCGGCCGCCGGCCCUGCCCUUGUCCCUGCGGUCGGGCGGCGGCCUCCACGCGGCCGAGACUUCAGGAUCAAGCGAUUCCUGGCCAAGAAACAAAAGCAGAAUCGUCCCAUUCUCCAGUGGAUUCCAAUGAAAACUGGUAAUAAAAUCAGGUACAACUCCAAGAGAAGGCAUUGGAGAAGAACCAAGCUGGGUCUAUAAGGAGCCUCACAUAGGAAGUGGCACACAGUUAAGCUAUCAAGGUCAAUUGCGUCUUACCGUAUCAGAACAUCACUAGUGUCUGGAACAGCUGCCUGUGUUUGAUGGGAGAAAUGGAAUGGCUCUCUCCUCUUGAUCUUUCCUCACCACUGCUCACUGUGUAGCUCAGUAAUAUGUGAAACCUUUUGUUGGAAAAAAAAAAUCUCACUUAAUAAUU